rnacentral:rRNA from 1 species
CAAUAGCGUAUAUUAAAGUUGUUGCGGUUAAAAGCUCGUAGUUGGAUUUCUGCUGAGGACGACCGGUCCGCCCUCUGGGUGAGUAUCUGGCUUGGCCUUGGCAUCUUCUUGGAGAACGUAGCUGCACUUGACUGUGUGGUGCGGUAUCCAGGACUUUUACUUUUGAGGAAAUUAGAGUGUUUCAAGCAGGCACACGCCUUGAAUACAUUAGCAUGGAAUAAUAAGAUAGGACCUUGGUUCUAUUUUGUUGGUUUUCGGAAAUCGACUUAAUGAUUAAUAGGGACAGUCGGGGGCAUUUGUAUUCAAACGACAGAGGUGAAAUUCUUGGACCGUUUGAAGACAAACUACUGCGAAAGCAUUUGCCAAGAAUGUUUUCAUUGAUCAAGAACGAAAGUUAGGGGAUCGAAGACGAUUAGAUACC